GUCCACGCCCUAAACGAUGUCAACUGGUUGUUGGGUCUUCACUGACUCAGUAACGAAGCUAACGCGUGAAGUUGACCGCCUGGGGAGUACGGCCGUAAGGUUGAAACUCAAAGGAAUUGACGGGGACCCGCACAAGCGGUGGAUGAUGUGGUUUAAUUCGAUGCAACGCGAAAAACCUUACCCACCUUUGACAUGUACGGAAGUUACCAGAGAUGGUUUCGUGCUCGAAAAGAGAACCGUAACACAGGUGCUGCAUGGCUGUCGU
rnacentral:rRNA from 1 species